CCUACGGGAGGCUGCAGUGAGGAAUAUUGGUCAAUGGGCGUAAGCCUGAACCAGCCAAGUCGCGUGAGGGAUGAAGGUUCUAUGGAUCGUAAACCUCUUUUAUAAGGGAAUAAAGUGCGGGACGUGUCCCGUUUUGUAUGUACCUUAUGAAUAAGGAUCGGCUAACUCCGUGCCAGCAGCCGCGGUAAUACGGAGGAUCCGAGCGUUAUCCGGAUUUAUUGGGUUUAAAGGGUGCGUAGGCGGCCUUUUAAGUCAGCGGUGAAAGUCUGUGGCUCAACCAUAGAAUUGCCGUUGAAACUGGGAGGCUUGAGUAUGUGUGAGGCAGGCGGAAUGCGUGGUGUAGCGGUGAAAUGCUUAGAUAUCACGCAGAACCCCGAUUGCGAAGGCAGCCUACCAAGCCAUGACUGACGCUGAUGCACGAAAGCGUGGGGAUCAAACAGGAUUAGAUACCCGUGUAGUC
rnacentral:rRNA from 1 species